AAGGGCGUAUUUCAGUCGGUAGAAUGCAUCGCUAUGGCUCAAGCCGCAAGGUUGGCGACGAUGAGGUCCUUGGUUCGAGUCCAGGCGCCCUUG